AUUCUAUAAAGAUCAAAGCAAGGCCAACCAGGAUGAGAUGAAAAUGUGUAUCAAGAAUUCAACCAGAUAGUUAGGAAGAAUCUUAAGCAAGAAUUCUAUGGGUCUCUUGAUCAUCACGGUCCACAGCUGAUUCAGAUCUUCAGGUCAAAGAGAGGUCUCACUGUGUUGCCAUUGAGUGCUUCCAGUACUUCUUGGUGAUGACCCAACUGAGUUCUUCAAAGCAUGUUUUCUUCAGAUUAUGGAGACUCAUGCCAACAUGUGCCCACUGGAUUUCUUAACCGAGAAAAUUAGGAUGUGGCUCUGCAACCCCUGUCCUUCCGCCUCCACCCAUCCUCAGUGGGAAUCAUCUAGGAGGGGAAUGUUGAAAUGGACAAUAUACCCCAGGCCAUGUAACUUUUUGGAUUAACCUAUGAACUACACCUAGGCUACCCAAAGUGCAUGGACAAUACCCUUGUUUUCAUUCAACAAGUUUGGGUAAGAAGACGCUGAAGGGUAAGAUUCUGGCUGUUAAAAAAAUCAACUUGCCAUGUAAAAAGGUACAGAAAAGGCAUAUUCCUUCAGGCUUGCUGUCCUAACUGUGAGAUAAAAAAAAUUUAAACUAUGCCUUAGUGUUUGGCAAGUAUUAAUAUUCCAUAAUGUUACAAUUUAAUAAAAUACUGUGGUUGUUUAUGAUUUGUAUGUGUUUGU